rnacentral:rRNA from 1 species
CCGCCGCCCGCCGUGGCUCCCGCCGACCUCGUCGUCCCGAUGUCCAGAGGCUUACCUCUCAACGACGGGCUCUGGUACAAGAUCCAGAAUGACACCGACGUCGUGUCCACCAGCGUCGCGCUGCCAUCCAACACCUACCGCGCGGUCCUCGAACUCUACGUCUCGUUCCACGGGGACGACGAGUUCUGGUGGACAAACCAGCCCGGUGCCGACGCUAAUGGCCCGUUCCACGAGGUCACCGUCCGUGUUGACGGGGUCCUCGCCGGUGCCGCGUGGCCGUUCCCCGUCAUCUUCACCGGCGGUGUCAACCCCCUCCUAUGGCAGCCCAUCACCGGCAUCGGCUCCUUCAACCUCCUGACGUACGACGUCGAGGUGACGCCGUUGCUGGGCAAGAUGCUGGACGGCAAGGCGCACGUGUUCGCCUUUGCUGUGACCAACGCCAUGGACGUGUGGUACGUCGACGCCAACCUCCACCUCUGGCUGGACCCUGGGAGCACGGCCACGGCGGCGGGCCUCGUGAACUACGUGGCGCCGGAGUUAGCGGCGGCGACAACGUCCUCCCGCACGACGGCGAGCCGGCAGGUCUCGACGACCGGGUGGGUGAAGUCGUUGUACGGGAACAUCACGACGAACGCCACGCAGAUGUUCCAUUUCGACAACACCAACACCAACGACGGCGAGACGGUGAACCAGACGACCGUCGCGCACGCCGGGGUCGCCGCCACAGACCUCGCCGGCGUCCUGUACUACUCGGUGCAGGCGCGCCAGAGCUUCCCGCUUUUGUUGGACUCAGGAGCGGACCAGGUAACCGUCACGCACGGGUUGGAGGAGACGACGGUAGCCGCCGGCCGGUGGUCGUCGGGGCCCAUGUACCAGUCGUUGCGCAACACGCAGCGGAGCAGCGUCGCCGGGGCGUCCGGCAGACGUACAGGUACGAGGCCACCGACGGGUGCUACUUGA